rnacentral:rRNA from 1 species
UACGUAGGGUGCAAGCGUUAAUCGGAAUUACUGGGCGUAAAGCGUGCGCAGGCGGUUUUGUAAGUCUGAUGUGAAAUCCCCGGGCUCAACCUGGGAAUUGCAUUGGAGACUGCAAGGCUAGAAUCUGGCAGAGGGGGGUAGAAUUCCACGUGUAGCAGUGAAAUGCGUAGAGAUGUAGAGGAACACCGAUGGCGAAGGCAGCCCCCUGGGUCAAGAUUGACGCUCAUGCACGAAAGCGUGGGGAGCAAACAGG